AAUAAAAUAAAAUCAAACAACGCAUGUAACAACGCAUGUAAUCAAGUAAAUCUCAUACAACCAACAAGCACACAACUAAAUAGUAUUAACUAAUACUAAUUUACGGAAUAAAUAAAAUAAAAUAAAAUAAAAUAAAUUAAAUCAAAAGAAAUCAAGAAAAUAGAGAAAAUGUAGGGUGCAAACUGUAAAGUGAAAUGCGUAAGCAGAAUAACCAGCACAAUAUACUGUAUUAUAAACCGUAAUAUAAACAAAAUAAAGAAUAAGAUACCGUGAAGUUACAGUGAAGUUAAUUUCGAAAUAAUAUAACCAUAGAUAAUAUAAACCAUAGAACAGCCACCUUCAAAGAUGUCAGGUGACAGAAUUUACAGAGAUAUAACCUUAACCCUAACCCCUAAUGUGUCAAAACAAGGAUGUCAACAGGAAGCAAGAACAGUGUAAGAAGACUCGUUAGGGAUAAGAAGAACAAAUUACCAAUUAAGGAACCCUGAUUGCCAACUCAAGGACAGGAAACAAGCAAGAAAGGCACUGUCACCCUUUUGUGAAAGGGCUACGCAAUACCAAUGCCAGGGAGAGACAUCAUGAAUUAAUUGAAUUAAAGAAUAUCGAAGAAGAAUCAAAAUAUCCAAGGAUAUAUAACAGGCGACAAAUCAAGAAGGCGACAGGAAAUGAAAUAAAAUAGUGGUAGUCAGUGAUAACGUGACACAAUUAAAUUAAAAUAUAAAAUAUAUAUGUAUUAAAUGUAUUAAAUAUAGAAUAACCGCAUAAAAGUAAACAUAAAUAUGUUAAUAUAAUCUACAAAACUUUGUACCACCAUGAACAUACAAUUAGACUAAAUCAUAACAAUAGCUUCAAUUCAAUUUAAUUCAGAAGAAGAACAAAUGAGAGAAUGAAAGAAUGAAUGAAUGAACCACUGAUCAGUGAAGUUAUUAAUUCAAGAAAUUAAAUAAUGUAGUAAAUAGGAAAGCGUUAAGGAUAAAGUGAAAGCCGUGACCACCAUAAAUAAUAAAGUAACGCAGUGUGAUACAAUGCAAUGUGACGUCAUAUAACAUAAAACAAAUGAAAUAUAAUGAAAUAGAAUACAAAAUUCAAGAAGUGGGCUCACUAAAAUAUAACUGUGAAGAUUAUUAAUGAAAUACUCUAUUCCUUUACACAAGUAAAUUAUAAGUUAAAUUGUGAGCGGUAUUUGGUGAAUGAUAAAUGGUCAUGUCAAUGCAAAUGCAAAUAGAACCGAUUAUUGCAUGACAUUUCAAAAAAGUGGGUAAAUAGCAAAUAAAUCAAAUCAAAUGUAGACUGCGUAGUUCAAUUAACGCUGUGCUACUGUAUAGUGUAGAGAUAAAUAAAUAACUCAACAAGUAGAGUAUUAAAAACUAACAUUUAAAAUGGUGAAUUAAACAGAAACCAUGCACCUUCAAAGCACUUGAAUAGACAAAACCAUUCAGCAUCACAGAAAAAUAACAAAAUUAAGAUAAAUUAAAAUAAAUUAAGAUAAAGUAAGAUAAAGAUAAAUCAAGUCAAAUCAAAUCACCAACUUCAGCUGAUCAGAGUGGAUGAAUGGAUGAAUGGAUCAAGGAAGGAAGAGAGAAACAGCAGAAUACCAGCAAGUACAAGUAAGAAUCACAACCCCAAUGUGUCAAAGCAGUAUCAAAACCAGCAUGCAAGGACUAGUUAAACGAAAUAACAAAUAAGAGAGCUGAAUUGCAACUGAAAAGGAAAAGAAAAGGAGAAAGAAAGGAAACAAGAAACAGCCCAUCGUCAUGGAAGAGCAACAUUAUGACCAGAGAGAGACAUCAUGGAUAAAUUGAAUUAAAGAAUAUCAAGAACAUCAAAAUGUCCAAUGAAUAUCAAGAAUGCACAGGCAAAUCAAAAACCAAUCAACCAAUCAAAACCAAAUCAAGAAGCGAUAAUGAAAUAAGUAAAUAGCAAUAACAGUGAUAAUGUGGCACAGAUAAAUUAAUAUAUAUAAGUAUAAGUAUAUUAAAUUAUAGAAUAUAGAAUAAAGAAUAACCAUAUGGAAAUAAAUCAUAAAUAUAUUAAUACAAUCUACAGAACUACAGAACUUUGUACCAUCAUGAGUUAAAUAAAUAAACUAAGUCAUAACAAUUA